CAACAAGCACGUCCGGUGAACAGGUCAGGGUUCCAUAGCCGCAGGCAGAACAGUUGAAACUGGAGCAGCAGCACGGCCAGUGGCCUGGCUGCUUUGGGCUGGGCUGUGAGGUGGUCUCUGGGUGCUGGUCUAGGCAGAGAGGCAGAGCCUGCAGUGGUGGAGUGGCUGUGGGUGUUGAGGUGGUGCCCGUGCCUGUCCAUGCCCGGGGUCCGGAGUAGAUAGCAGCUAAAAUGUUUUGCUCUGCCCUCCCAACAGACGCUGGUUGGAGGGAGCUUCAGCAAUGGACUCAGGAACAGCAAGCGUUUAAUGCCACAGCGGUGGUCCGUCACAUGAGGCGUCUCUAGCUGGGACCAUGUCAGGAGGUGCCGAGCCAGACCACCCUGCUCAGCCACUGCAGAAGUGGCUCCCAGCCAGACCACCCUGCCUAGCCCCUGUAGAAGCCAUCUGCUGCUGCCUGAGGGGGAACACACAGAGUCUCCCGUUGAGGGUGGCUACUCCCAGAGUGCGAACCAGCGGGGCAGAACGAGACUCCCUGGCCAACUGUACCUACCGCUGCCAUCCAACCAGCUGCAUCUGAUCCCCCGGCCACCUGUAGUGUGGCCAACCAAUGACUUUCCCACUUUCCAGUCUGGCCCCGAACACAGAGUUGUUGUUCCAGCGCCCCUUCACCAGAUGGGGCAGGGAUGUUAAGAACCCAGGGUGGGGAGGAGGGAAGAGGGGAUUCUAUGAUGCCAUUGCCAACAGAGGAGGUCACUUGACCUAGAUUGGGGUGAGAGUGGAGGAUGAACUGAGAGAGGAGAAGAGAAGGAGGCAAGCUUAAGGAGAGGUGUUGUACCCAGUGUAUUCCUGGGUGUUAUUAGUUUGGGAGUGGGACAGAGCUUGGACAGUGUUUUUACUCAUGCUUUUUAAAAGUGUAUGUCUGCUUUUUUUCAUCUCUGUAUUUCUGUACAUGCUGUUUUUUUCAUUGUCGUUAUCCUUCCCCCUUGACAACGUAUAGAGGAUUGAUCCACUGAUGCUACUUGCAUGAUCAGAGAACAGGCAGACAGGUCCCAAUGCAUGUUGACUGACAACAGGUGUUUUUAUAACAUAAGGAGUCUACUGCAGAACUAUGUGUAUGCGGUACCACCCAUUGUGGAAUAGUUUCUGUACAGCAGAUAUUGUAGCUAAUAGCUCACAAGAGAUGGACUUACAUGCAAAGCCAUUCCUCAAAAAACUAAGAAUAGGUGUCUGUUAACCUACAGAGGUCUCGGUUAACCCACAGUUUUACUCCCUGAUGUUUAAACCACAUUCUAACCUGAAAGUGCAAUAUUAUCCCGUUGAUAAAGACACUUUUGGGGGAGAGUUUCAGCCUGCCUUUCAACUGGUCAAAACUUAAUCCAUUUAAGUUAUUAAGAACAUGGAAGAUGUAAUGAGCUCAGCCCUCUUGCUUAAGGGCAGGGAAUAGAUGUGUGUGAAUACAAAGCCAAAUGUGGAUAUGUUUUUCACUGUGUACAUGCAACCAAUUAACAUUCCCUUUUGGAUCACCCUUCCAUGGGUCUUUUCUUAAUUCAUUUUGGGGUUGUUUUUUCAAGCAAUUUUAUGUGUACAGAGAGAACUUGAAUUAAUGAAAGUAAAUAAUAAUCCAUCAUUACAUCUGUCACUCUCGCUCUCACCAUGAGGUCACGUUAAAUUGUUGAUACCUUUAAUAACCUAUUGCACAUACAAAAGUGACAUUUUUUGUUAUUCACUUAAGACCACUCCAUUUGUUUUUGCACCACCCUAUUUUCCAAAUACUCUGUUUAAAUGUCC
rnacentral:lncRNA from 1 species